GGAUUAGCUAGUUGGUGAGGUAAUGGCUCACCAAGGCUACGAUCCGUAACUGGUCUGAGAGGAUGAUCAGUCACACUGGAACUGAGACACGGUCCAGACUCCUACGGGAGGCAGCAGUGGGGAAUAUUGGACAAUGGGCGAAAGCCUGAUCCAGCCAUGCCGCGUGUGUGAAGAAGGUCUUCGGAUUGUAAAGCACUUUAAGUUGGGAGGAAGGGCAUUAACCUAAUACGUUAGUGUCUUGACGUUACCGACAGAAUAAGCACCGGCUAACUCUGUGCCAGCAGCCGCGGUAAUACAGAGGGUGCAAGCGUUAAUCGGAAUUACUGGGCGUAAAGCGCGCGUAGGUGGUUUGUUAAGUUGAAUGUGAAAUCCCCGGGCUCAACCUGGGAACUGCAUCCAAAACUGGCAAGCUAGAGUAUGGUAGAGGGUAGUGGAAUUUCCUGUGUAGCGGUGAAAUGCGUAGAUUUUGGAAGGAACACCAGUGGCGAAGGCGACUACCUGGACUGAUACUGACACUGAGGUGCGAAAGCGUGGGGAGCUAACAAAGGGAGAUACCCUGGUAGUCCACGCCGUAAACGAUGUCAAAGAGGCGUCCGGGUUUCGAGCUCUAAGUAGUGCAGCUUAGUACAAGGACCGAAU
rnacentral:rRNA from 1 species